rnacentral:lncRNA from 1 species
UUCCCACUCUGCUUAGCAGGGAGCAGUUCCAUGUCACAUAGUGCACAAGUGAGCUGAUACUGCAGCAGCACUCCUGGGAGAAGCUGCCACUUUGGUUCCAAAGUAUGGGUGCAACAACUAAUGCUGGAAACCUUUGGAAAGCAAUUAAUGAGUCAUCUUGGAUACUGCAUAAAUCGUUGACAAUCAGCUUGAGCAAAUCAAGAACAAUACAUGGAAUGAUAGACAGAGGUCCCCAUGGCUGCCAGCUAACCUGAAGGCUUGCCCUUUUUUUGCUGCAAAAAAUUUGAGGAAGGUGUGUAACCAUUAUGAUUGGCUGUGAGUUGUAACACAUUUGAUCCUGUCAUGCUCUGAAAACCUCUGAAGUAGUUGCUAUUUAGCAUUGCUCUGCUGUGCUUCACACAGGAUCUCGUAGCCUUCUGACAAGUGAACCGAGAGAUGCAGAGGCUCACGUAUCUGGCUGCCAGGCUCUUCCUCAGGCUCCCUCCCUUUGGUCACCUGGCUCUGCAGAUGAAGUUCUGUGCUCUGGAAUGGAGAAGAUGUAGUACCAUUGUGUACAGCACUUCAACAACCAUUUAUGCUGGCAUGCUUGUAACAGAUUGGAAGACUGCUUGCUGA